CGCCGCAGAGAACGCGAUGCAGCAGUUGCGCUAACACCUUUGUGGUGAUAGGAGCACGCAUCACUUACAUUGUGGUUUAUCCGAGGCACGUGAAGCAACUUGAAAUGCUUCAAGAAACGCCUGUGCAACGUUGUGCAAGGGUUCUGUGCUGGCCAUUGACAACGCUCCGCCUCGAUGCCGAAAGCCGCAUCCCUCAUUUUUCAACGACGCUGAAAAAGCAUUCAUGCAGAAAGUGGACAAGCCACAGCGAGAAGGAAGAACACGGCGGCAUGAUCAUGGAGACGUUUUGUUGAAGCUACAACAACAACGACGACACGGUGCUGCUGGACCACCGCCCCCAUCGCCCGUCGGCCCAUAAAGCGACCCUAAUGAGGCAUCUCGACUCGGACCGGGACGUUGAGCUACGUUGAAAAACAUCCAUAGUGUUUCGUACUCAAAGGAGCUGUGUUACUACCGACGACGACUACAAGCACCGACCCGUGUCACCUCUCUGACUAGAGGAUGCCAUCCCUUCCCCAACAGGAUCUCCUUCGGCGGCGGGGCAGUCUCUUACGGUUCACUUUGUGCGGCAAUCGAUGGAUUCCAAGAGCGUGGGACACAGCAUGCCUAUUGGCCACGCUAGUCAACAUGAAAAGACUUGUCCAACGGGUGUUUGUUCGACGGGAUUACGCGCAGAAUGUGCAAAUCUUACUUCCCUUGGGCAUACGUUCAACCGCUCUACACAAGGAGUGGUUUCCCUCCCAUGAGCCUCUGUGUGGGUUGAUCCGACGUGGCAUAUGUUCGCCCCCUCUACGCCAAGAAGUGGUUUCCCUCCCGUGUCUCUCUGUGUAGGUUGACUCGACGUGUCCUGACAAGGCUCUCUAACAGGGAGCAGCACAGAAUGAGACUGCCAGGAUGAUGGAGGUUAUAAGAACGCCAGCGAACCGCCACGUGUUGUCACAUCUGCUCUGCCCUUGCGCGUGCAGGUGCACGCACGCUGAACGUUUCUGUAUUUUUUGUUUGGAGCGUACCGCUUACCCGGAAUGAUGUAAUACACUUCUGUUCUUUCUUCGUA